UAGGGAAUCUUCCGCAAUGGACGCAAGUCUGACGGAGCAACGCCGCGUGAGUGAAGAAGGAUUUCGGUUCGUAAAACUCUGUUGUUAGAGAAGAACAGCGCAUAGAGUAACUGUUAUGCGUGUGACGGUAUCUAACCAGAAAUCCACGGCUAACUACGUGCCAGCAGCCGCGGUAAUACGUAGGUCCCGAGCGUUGUCCGGAUUUAUUGGGCGUAAAGCGAGCGCAGGCGGUUAGAUAAGUCUGAAGUUAAAGGCAGUGGCUCAACCAUUGUAGGCUUUGGAAACUGUUUAACUUGAGUGCAGAAGGGGAGAGUGGAAUUCCAUGUGUAGCGGUGAAAUGCGUAGAUAUAUGGAGGAACACCGGUGGCGAAAGCGGCUCUCUGGUCUGUAACUGACGCUGAGGCUCGAAAGCGUGGGGAGCGAACAGG
rnacentral:rRNA from 1 species